rnacentral:misc_RNA from 1 species
UACAGAGGGUGCGAGCGUUAAUCGGAUUUACUGGGCGUAAAGCGUGUGUAGGCGGCUUUUUAAGUCGGAUGUGAAAUCCCCGAGCUUAACUUGGGAAUUGCAUUCGAUACUGUUGGGCUUGAGGAAGGUAGAGGAGAGUGGAAUUCCCGGUGUAGCGGUGGAAUGCGCAGAUAUCGGGAGGAACACCAGCGGCGAAGGCGGCUCUCUGGUCUGUAACUGACGCUGAGGCGCGAAAGCGUGGGGAGCGAACAGG